rnacentral:rRNA from 1 species
AAUAUUGCACGAAUGGGCGCAAGCCUGGAAUGCAGCCAUGCCGCGUGUAUGAAGAAGGACCUUCGGGUUGUAAAGGUACUUUACAGCAGUGAGGAAGGUGGGUAUGGUUAAUAGCAUACUCAUUUGACGUUAGCUGCAGAAGAAGCACCGGCUAACUCCGUGCCAGCAGCCGCGGUAAUACGGAGGGUGCGAGCGUUAAUCGGAAUUACUAGGGCGUAAAGCGCAUGCAGGUGGUUUGUUAAGUCAGAUGUGAAAGCCCGGGGCUCAACCUCGGAAUUGCAUUUGAAACUGGCAAACUAGAGUACUGUAGGAGGGGGUAGAAUUUCAGGUGUAGCGGUGAAAUGCGUAGAGAUCUGAAGGAAUACCGGUGGCGAAGGCGGCCCCCCUGGACAGAUACUGACACUCAGAUGCGAAAGCGUGGGGAGCAAACAGGAUUAGAUACCCUGGUAG